rnacentral:rRNA from 1 species
UACGUAGGGCGCAAGCGUUAUCCGGAAUUAUUGGGCGUAAAGAGCUCGUAGGCGGUUUGUCGCGUCUGCCGUGAAAGUCCGGGGCUCAACUCCGGAUCUGCGGUGGGUACGGGCAGACUAGAGUGAUGUAGGGGAGACUGGAAUUCCUGGUGUAGCGGUGAAAUGCGCAGAUAUCGGGAGGAACACCAGUGGCGAAGGCGGUUGCCUGGAGCUUUGCUGACGCUGAUGCGCGAAAGCGUGGGGAGCGAUCCGG